CUACGGGAGGCUCCAGUGGGGAAUAUUGCACAAUGGACGAAAGUCUGAUGCAGCAACGCCGCGUGGAGGAUGACACAUUUCGGUGCGUAAACUCCUUUUAUAUAGGAAGAUAAUGACGGUACUAUAUGAAUAAGCACCGGCUAACUCCGUGCCAGCAGCCGCGGUAAUACGGAGGGUGCAAGCGUUACUCGGAAUCACUGGGCGUAAAGAGCGUGUAGGCGGGUAGUUAAGUCAGAAGUGAAAUCCAAUAGCUCAACUAUUGAACUGCUUUUGAAACUGAUUACCUAGAAUAUGGGAGAGGUAGAUGGAAUUUCUGGUGUAGGGGUAAAAUCCGUAGAGAUCAGAAGGAAUACCGAUUGCAAAGGCGAUCUACUGGAACAUUAUUGACGCUGAGACGCGAAAGCGUGGGGAGCAAACAGGAUUAGAUACCCCAGUAGUC
rnacentral:rRNA from 1 species